rnacentral:rRNA from 1 species
UACGUAGGGGGCAAGCGUUGUCCGGAUUUAUUGGGCGUAAAGAGCGUGUAGGCGGCCAGGUAGGUCUGCUGUGAAAACUCGGGGCUUAACCCCGGGCCUGCAGUGGGUACGGGCAGACUAGAGUGCGGUAGGGGAGACUGGAAUUCCGUGGUGUAGCGGUGAAAUGCGCAGAUAUCAGGAGGAACACCGGUGGCGAAGGCGGGUCUCUGGGCCGUAACUGACGCUGAGGAGCGAAAGCGUGGGGAGCGAACAGG